ensembl:snoRNA SNORA73 Small nucleolar RNA SNORA73 family
UCAAUGUAGACAGCCUGGGAGAUCACUUUUCCUAGGUUCUAAGUGCUGUAGAGGAACAUAGGGCGCUGCGCCAUGAUAUAUAGUCCCUUUCCACAAUGAUAGAGAUAAAGCUGGGCUUUGUGUCUGCAUCUGCAUAUUCCCAUGUCUCAGAGUUCUUCAAACAGUGACUGAGAAGAUAAACCAUGCAGAAAAUAUUG